ensembl:lncRNA
CAGAAGUGGGCCCACAUGUAGACUCUCUUUUGCAGACAGCUUUUCAAGGUACCAUAGACUACAAUAUGUUGAUACAAUGGAAAACUUUCCCGUUAUCCCUAAUACCGUGAAGACCAUUAGCUCGUCAUAACUUCACAGGCCCAGGGGAAGCUGACAUUAUGGUAGAGUAGGUGUAAUGAGCUGUAAUUUCAAGGAUCCUUGAUUUGUUACUUAUGGGGAAUUGUGUUCAUGUUUAAUUUGCAGAAUGCCAUGUGAUGUUUAUGUGCUAUACUUGGGGAAAAGUGUAACCUGUAUAUCUUAGUUUUGAACAAUGAGUUCAAGGUAAAAGGAAUCCAGGAGUCCACUUGCUGUGACAAAAGAAUAUAUAUUUUACAUGAAUCAACCAUCCUUUUAAAGUGCAUAAUGUUAAAUACCUGUGGAACAGCGAACAGAAUUAGAAUAGUCUUCUCCAAACUGGCAAGUCAGAGUAAUGCCUUCAUUAGAAAAAGUGUGGUUUGUGCAAUAACAGAAAAUAACUGAAGUGGCUGAGGUCAAAUGGGUCUUCUGGUGAGGUGAUCAUGUCUAACGCAACACUUUGAACGACUACGUUAACUCAAAUUGCAAAGGUCAAACAAGGUAGUAGGCAUUUUACCUGUUUGAUUCAUCAGGGCACUGAAUUACAAGGUGCAAAAAUCGGUCUCACGUGCAAUCCAAACUAGUUCAUUUCAAAGGCGUACAAAAAACAAAUGCACCACAAUGUUAACGUUACAAACAUCUCGGGCAGCACAGUCCCCUUACCCCGGCUCUUCCUUCAUGCUGACAACACACUGCCUCUUCCUCUGCCCAGACUCUCCCACCCCCGUCACGUGAGGCCCCAUCAUCUUCCUCUUGUACAAGCAGCAGCCAUCGCUGCUGGGGCCAGGGGACCUGUCAGAGGGGCCGCUGGGCCCCGCUGCCCCCGCAGUGUGAGGGGGGGACCGUGUGCAGGGCGGUGGUGUCGGGGAUCUGAUGGCGCUGUGCAACCCCGAGUCCUCAAAGCGGUCAUCCUCUCCCUCAGGACGGCCGUGCCCGGACCCCGUCCUCCCCGCAGGGUCCCGGCCGACGCGUCGGCCGCUCACCGGGGACCGGGGGGAAACCCAGAGCUCGGACGAGCUGCCGUCCGAGUCCAUCAGGACGUCCGCCGGCUGCUGGGUCAGCAGGGGCGACCCUGUGGUGGUGGUGGUGGUGGUGGUGGUGGUGGAGGGGGGGGGCGCCCGGGGCUCACGCUUGGUCACCUCCAAGGGGGCCGACGCCGGUGGCUGGAGGGGGACGAGGCGUCUGCUCCGGCACAGGAAGUGGCUGCGGGCGCACCCGUGCUGCCUGGGUCUCCCGCGCAGGAGGCCUGCAGCGUGGCGGGACUCAUCGGAGUCCUCUGAGCUCCCGUCGUAGGGGUCCAGGUACUUA